ACUCCUACGGGAGGCAGCAGUGGGGAAUAUUGCACAAUGGGCGCAAGCCUGAUGCAGCCAUGCCGCGUGUAUGAAGAAGGCCUUCGGGUUGUAAAGUACUUUCAGCAGUGAGGAAGGCGGGUACGUUAAUAGCGUGCUUGUUUGACGUUAGCUGCAGAAGAAGCACCGGCUAACUCCGUGCCAGCAGCCGCGGUAAUACGGAGGGUGCGAGCGUUAAUCGGAAUUACUGGGCGUAAAGCGCAUGCAGGUGGUUUGUUAAGUCAGAUGUGAAAGCCCGGGGCUCAACCUCGGAAUUGCAUUUGAAACUGGCAGACUAGAGUACUGUAGAGGGGGGUAGAAUUUCUAGGUGUAGCGGUGAAAUGCGUAGAGAUCUGAAGGAAUACCGGUGGCGAAGGCGGCCCCCUGGACAGAUACUGACACUCAGAUGCGAAAGCGUGGGGAGCAAACAGGAUUAGAUACCCUGGUAGGAUAGCG
rnacentral:rRNA from 1 species